CUACGGGACGCACCAGUCGAGAAUCUUUAGCAAUGGGCGAAAGCCUGACUAUGCGACGCCGCGUGAGCGAUGAAGGCCUUCGGGUCGUAAAGCUCUGUCACACCGGAUGAAUGUUCAGCAUUUGAAUAAGGUGUUGGAUUGACAGUACGGUGAGAGGAAGCCACGGCUAACUCCGUGCCAGCAGCCGCGGUAAUACGGAGGUGGCAAGCGUUGUUCGGAUUUAUUGGGUGUAAAGGGUGUGUAGGUGUUCCGAUAAGUCGGGUGUGAAAUCCUUCAGCUUAACUGAAGAAUUGCGUCCGGAACUACCGGAAUUGAGUGCAUGAGAGGAGAGGGGAAUUCUUGGUGUAAGGGUGAAAUCUGUAGAUAUCAAGAAGAACACCGGUGGCGAAGGCGCCUCUCUGGCAUGCAACUGACACUGAGACACGAAAGCGUGGGGAGCAAACAGGAUUAGAUACCCUCGUAGUC
rnacentral:rRNA from 1 species